AUUGAACGCUGGCGGCAUGCUUUACACAUGCAAGUCGAACGGUAACAGCACUUCGGUGGCUGACGAGUGGCGAACGGGUGAGUAAUACAUCGGAACGUGCCUAGUAGUGGGGGAUAACUACUCGAAAGAGUAGCUAAUACCGCAUGAGAUCUAAGGAUGAAAGCCGGGGACCUUCGGGCCUUGCGCUACUAGAGCGGCUGAUGGCAGAUUAGGUAGUUGGUGGGAUAAAAGCUUACCAAGCCGACGAUCUGUAGCUGGUCUGAGAGGACGACCAGCCACACUGGAACUUGGCCACGGCCCAGACUCCUACGGGAGGCAGCAGUGGGGAAUGUUGGACAAUGGGCGCAAGCCUGAUCCAGCAAUGCCGCGUGCAGGAUGAAGGCCUUCGGGUUGUAAACUGCUUUUGUACGGAACGAAAAGCCCUCUUCUAAUACAGGAGGGUCAUGACGGUACCGUAAGAAUAAGCACCGGCUAACUACGUG
rnacentral:rRNA from 1 species